rnacentral:rRNA from 1 species
GACGAACGCUGGCGGCGUGCUUAACACAUGCAAGUCGAACGGAAACUCCCUGCCUUUUUGCGCUGCUCGGGUGGCGACGGGGUAAGUAACCCGUGAGUAACCUGCCCCUGACUUUGGGGUAACUUCAUGCAGGUGGGUCUCAUACCGGCUAGGAGCUCCUGCUGCAUGGUGGGGGUUGGUAAGUUUCGGCGGUUGGGGAUGUACUGGCGGCGUAUUAGAUUGUUGGUGUGGUAGUGGCUUACCAAGGCCUGGACGGGUAGCCGGGCUGAGAGGGUGAGCGGCCACAUUGGGACUGAGAUACGGCCCAGACCCGUACGGGAGGGAGCAGAGGGGAAGGUUACACUAUGGGAGGAAGCCUAAUGCAGCAACGCCGCGUGCGGGAUGACGGCAAUCGGGUUGGAAUGCGAUGUCGCCUGUGCCGAAGUGUGAGUGACGGUAACGGGUAAAGAAGCACCGGCUAACUACGUG